UGAAGUAACUGUCUGUACUCUGUUUAGGUUUUUGGGAGCAUAAAUGAAUAGCCUACGCGCUGACAAGGAUACAUAACACUGUCUGUAUCCGUAGGCUACUAGCUACAGCUUUUGUGUUCACUAGUGCCGCCCUGAGCUUCUCACAUGGGCAGCACCUGGUUCCUUUGCUACGUUGUUCAUGGCUAUCGUGCUUAGGAACAACUCCAGUCAAUGCAAACUGGUGGCAAGUUGUUAGAAGCAACAUGUGGUCGUGAAUUUGCCGAUUUCUCUUAUUUCUAGGCCUUGUUUAGUUCCCAGAAAAUUUUGCAAAAUUUUUCACAUUCCCCGUCACAUCAAAUCUUUAGACGCAUGCAUGAAGUAUUAAAUAUAGAUGAAAAUAAAAACUAAUUGCACAGUUUGGUCAAAAUUGACGAGACGAAUCUUUUGAGCCUAGUUAGUAUAUAAUUAGAUAAUAUUUGUCAAAUACAAACGAAAGUGCUACAGUGUCGAUUUUCCAAAAUUUUUCGGAACUAAACAAGGCCUAAGUACAUGUGUGGUGUGAGAGGACCAACGUCCCUAUGCACAAGACCUAAGGUGCGUUUGGUAGGGAUCCAGAUUCUCAUAUAAACAUUUUGGAGAUCUAGAUUAUGUUUGGAAACAUUGUGGGUGACGAAUGAGAAUCACUUUAUGAAACUAUUUGGAUGUUAGCCUGGAUUCAGAGUCCUAGAAGAGUUUUUUUUUUGUUAAAAAAAAUCAUAUAAAUGAACUAUGCUUCAAAAAAAAUUAAAAAAAAUUCAUGACUGAAGAACAACUUAAAUACAACCUAUUUUAACCUGCUGCACUAAAAGAAGUUAUAAUUAAAAAACUAUACUUAUUAGUACAUAGUAGCAAAAGUAGAAUCCAUGCAAAACUAGCCUUCCAGUGCUUAGAGUUCCAAAGAAGGAAUCAUGAAACGUUUCAUCUUAGCGCAUUUGGCACAGAUUCUACUGUUUCUUGCUACAAUCUGAACUAAUUUAGUCUUCCAGACGGCCCCUAAGAGGCAAUCACGUGGUGUCGCUAAGUGUGUGUACCAACUAAGAGCACAUUUAGACAUGUAACUCAUGUAUGUGUUCUGAGAGCUCUGCCAAACAGAACACUAUGUACAACAACACAAAUGACCUAAGCUUAAUUAGAGGAAAUUCUUUAUUGUAAUCUUAACCAGCGUUGAGAUUCUUGAUGUAUGAUGGGCCGGGUGGUGGAGACAUUACUGAACCAAUUCGGCUGAGAUUCUUGAAAACUUAAAUGAAGAGCCUAGUGAAACCAAAAUUAUAGCUGGACAGGACAUGAACGCUACGUCCUGUAGUUAGAGAAUCUCCAAUAUGCCUACGAAUCAAACUGUGAAUGUAAAAGUGUAAUCCGUGGACAGAAAGACACUAAGGACCAGGGGCAGAUUUGGGCCUCGGGCCACUAGGGCCACGGCUCUAGGCAUGGUCCCUUAUAAUAUGUGUAGUUUUUUGACCUGGCCCU
rnacentral:lncRNA from 1 species